rnacentral:lncRNA from 1 species
CUUCUCUUCCUUCUAAUGCAAAACCAAACACAACCAUAGACUUUCGACUACUAUUUACUAGUUUUUGCUAAUAAUUUUAUUUCAAUGCCUUUACUCUUUAGGCACACAAUCAACCGCCAUGUGUCCUGUCCAUAACCAGAAGAUAGUAGGAUGGUACAUCCUAAACAGCAUGGCCUAGCCAUACAUCCCACCAAAAUCUCAUCUCACAUCACGCGUUUCCAUUUUUCUUCUCAGCUUUUGAUCUUCUUUUCUCCAUUCUUAUUUUAAAAUUCCAAAAUAACAAUUGAAUAUUGGGGUUAAAAUUAAACCCCCAGGAAACAUAAAAAUAAAAUAAAAAUGCUCACUACCAUUACUAAAAACAACAAAAUCACGUAAUGCACAAUGGCCACGAUCACUGUGUACAAGCGUGGGUGGUUUUCGACAUUACCGGAACACGAGGGCAUCUACCCGAAAUUCCAUGCCAUUUCUGAGGUCACCAACGUAAUUUUCCCACUCCCCCAAAAAACCAAUGCGUAUAGCGCACGAUAAACAUCUCCACCACGCGUCACCAACAUAAACGCUCCUCACUGCCCAGAUCAUCUCCGCCACGUUGGACACCACCUGGCACUAACAGUCCUAGUCAGCAACUCUUCCAUCUUCGCUAUAAAUACCCUGACCUCAAACCCACUCACCUAAUCCAAAGCGUCAAAAAACCAAAAAAGAAUAAAAAAAACACAAAUAAAAACAUUUUCACCUGCUUCUGACGGUGAACUCGCCGGAGAGAUGAACAUUCCGGCGAUUUCUUCUUCCUUCCAGUUGAACAAUGCACGUUUCUCCGAUCAUCGCCGCCAUGUUUUCCACGAAAACCUUGACCUCGAAAAACACUUCUUCACCUCCUUCGUCUUCUCUACUCGCUUAGUCUAGAAGUGAUUCCAUACUUCUUCUCUGAAAAUGGAACAAACACGAUAGAGUAGUUGUAUAUAGAGAGUGAGAAUUUUUCAGAGAUUUCUUUUCUACCAUUUUGUCUUUUCUAUUGCUUUUCUUAGCCAUGCCUCCGAUGAAGAUCCAACCUAUUGACAUCGAUUCUCAGAAGCUGAAGGAAGCGGUGGUGGUUCGAAACGACGCCGUCAAGCCGGUUUUGAAGUUGCGGCUUAAGAGGCUGUUCG